rnacentral:lncRNA from 1 species
AGAGUUCAGACAAAAUUUCUUUUCGAAAUUUAUAAAAAUGCAAUCGGCAUCAGAAAGAGAAUCAAAUGCAGCAACUUUUGAAAUGUGAAAGAAUAUGAAAACCCAUUUCAAAUACCAAUUAAAUUAAAAAAAAUAACUCUGAAAGGCUAGGGUCAGAUGUUGGAUCAAAAUCCUCAUAAUUAUUGGGUUCUAUAGGAAUACAAACACGACCUGUAAUAAAGCAAAAAAACCAUUCAAAUCACAGUAAAAUUCUCUAUAUUCAGAAACAUAAAGACCCAUGAUUUAAGUAACAUAACUUUUGAUUAAAAUAGAACCCAUGAUUUAAAAGAGAACAAGUGCAGUACUUUAAACAACAGAACUUAAAAUACAUGAUUUUAAACAGAGAAAUACCUAAUCAUAUUGGAGAAAUAUGACUGGGUUUUAAACAGAGAAAUAUUUUAAAUGAAGAUUGUAUUGUGAUUAUGAUUUAGGGAGGAUUGUAUUGUGAAAUAUUUUUCAUCAAGAACAUAAAACUAAACCAGAGGAUGUCAUAGAACUCACCAAAUCCUCACUGUCCUCACUGCGGAAGAUGAAAAACUCGAUCACUGUCCUCACUGCGUCUGCCGGAAGAUGAAGAAAUCACGGUCGCCGAUGCUGGAAUGGAAUGCAAUGCAAGAAAUCGAUCGGAACGAUUGGGUUUCGGAGAAAUUGAAAAUCGGGAGGGGUUCGGGUUUAGAGAUUUGGGGAUUUUAAUUAGGUUGGGGUUUAGG